CAUUAGCUAGUUGGUAAGGUAACGGCUUACCAAGGCAAUGAUGCAUAGCCGAGUUGAGAGACUGAUCGGCCACAUUGGGACUGAGACACGGCCCAAACUCCUACGGGAGGCAGCAGUAGGGAAUCUUCCACAAUGGACGCAAGUCUGAUGGAGCAACGCCGCGUGAGUGAAGAAGGGUUUCGGCUCGUAAAGCUCUGUUGGUAGUGAAGAAAGAUAGAGGUAGUAACUGGCCUUUAUUUGACGGUAAUUACCUAGAAAGUCACGGCUAACUACGUGCCAGCAGCCGCGGUAAUACGUAGGUGGCAAGCGUUGUCCGGAUUUAUUGGGCGUAAAGCGAGUGCAGGCGGUUCAAUAAGUCUGAUGUGAAAGCCUUCGGCUCAACCGGAGAAUUGCAUCAGAAACUGUUGAACUUGAGUGCAGAAGAGGAGAGUGGAACUCCAUGUGUAGCGGUGGAAUGCGUAGAUAUAUGGAAGAACACCAGUGGCGAAGGCGGCUCUCUGGUCUGCAACUGACGCUGAGGCUCGAAAGCAUGGGUAGCGAACAGGAUUAGAUACCCUGGUAGUCCAUGCCGUAAACGAUGAGUGCUAAGUGUUGGGAGGUUUCCGCCUCUCAG
rnacentral:rRNA from 1 species